GGAAGGGCCAAAGCUCAGUGGUAGAGCACGUGUUUAACUUGCAGAAAGUCCCAGGUUCAAUCCCUGGCUCCUCCA